rnacentral:misc_RNA from 1 species
CCGGUGUUUUAAGGGCACCCGCAAUGAUUAUUUAUAAGCUCUUUACAAGAGAUCCAUGUCAACAUAUUUUUCUACUUGGAAGUGAUUAAAUGAAGAGAGAGAGAGCAAAGCUAUCUACUAACCUGAAGAUAGUUUAUAGAGAAAAACGAGACAAUAGAUUAGAGAGCUAUAGAUUCCCAUGUAGACAUACCAUUGAAGUGGUUUAAUAUUAAUCUAAUUUAUUGCUGAGAUGUACAUGUUUUAUAGAUAACACCUUACUUUACCAUUACAGGUGCUCUUAAGUAAAAAAAAUGAUGCGAGGAUAUACCGAUCACAUCCACACAGUGAUACAAUCAUUGACAUAUGCACCGUAUCGAGAUACGGUGCUUUGGGCUCUGGCUGGUGAGUCUGGUUAUAUAGUAGUAUAUACACUGACACAUCCAUUAGUAACUGUGAAUAGUGAAUUAGAGCACCCGCAAUGGUAAAGUAAGGUGUUCUCUAUAAAACAUGUACAUCUCAGCAAUAGACUAGAUUAAUAGUAAACCACCUCAAUAGUAUGUCUACAUGGGUAUCUAUAGCUCUCUCAUGCAUUGUCUCGUUUUUCUCUAUAGAUUAUCUCCAGGUUAGUAGAUAGCUUUGCUCUCUCUCUCUUCAUUUAAUCUAUUCCAAGUAGGAAAAUAUGCUGACAUGGAUCUCUUAUAGAGAGCCUAUAGAUAACCAUUGCGGGUGCCCUUACUCCCUCCAU